AAAGGAUGUGCUGGGAUUGACAUACUAUAUCCAGGAGGACUAUCCAGCUCCUCCAAUCUGUGUAGUGUCUGUCCCUAACAGGCUUGUCAUCAAAGGAUCCCACAAACAUCUUGCAGAAGAGGGUCUAUGUCCCAGUCUUUUUUUGUAUUACUCACAUCUGGCCUAAUUACCUGGAUACAAUAGGAACUCCAAUUGAUAUGGACUGACACAACAACAACAAAAAAAACAAAACUACAUAGCAUCAAACUUGAUGCUUGGAAAGACACCGAAAACCCUCUGGAUUUCUACCCAAGAUAUGCGGCUUCUUGCGGCUAUCCAGGGAAUCUUUCACUUUUUGUCCUUUCCCGACCCUUCUGGACCACAUUUUCUCUUCUUAUUCAGGCCAUCUGCUCUCAAGGAAGGUAAAACUUCUGCGAAGAAAACAAUCAGCAUCCCCAGCAAUCCGUCGCUUUUGUGAACUACCCUUACAGCCCCUGCCUAUGAAGACACACAGGGUGCAGAU